CUGCUUGAGGUGUAGUGCUAACGCGCCUGUCUAGUGAGGAGGAGUCGUGAGUUCGAGUCUCAUCGAGAGGA
rnacentral:tRNA from 1 species